CAGCGCGUCUGGAGCGAGCCAGUUUCCGCUCGCGCGUCACAUCCUAAAAAUACGCGGAAACUCAAUCCACACACGCACGAGACUACUAAAAUUAUUCAGCGCGUAUUCCGGCAGCUGAGACGUGUCAGUUUCUCCCCCGGUAACGCCACAUCUGAAACUCACAAACUGCGGCUCUAUGAAGGGAUCUACACGCAAAAAAGGAGCUAAAUUAUGCAUAAUUAGGGGAAUUGGGAGACAUCAUUGUGCGUUGUAGAAGGAAAAGCUACAAUUUUGGGACUGCUUCACCUUUCAGAAAAAAAUUGGCCUUGAUAUACUGCUCUAUUGCAAAUAAUAAUCCAAGUUAACCUUUACCAUCGGUCAGGGUGACAGAAAGAACACUACAAGCUGGUUAAACCUGGCUUUAUCUUUGCAGCAGAACGGAUGAGUCCUGCUGGAAUAGAAGGCUCCGAGCGCUAGCUGGGUGAAAUGGCCGCGAGAAGCAGUCAGGACAGGCCACGCUCCACACUGAGUCCGCGUUCACCACUAGCCCGUUAGCCUACUCGGGUAACCAAGCAGCUGCAGCUUGGACAGAAUGGAUCUGCAAGAUUUCUCCCCAAACCAAACAGAAAGCAGAUACUGCUCCAGCCCUUAAGUUAUUGCGCUGGCAACCAGUUUGCUUUGGAAUCGAUUGCUAAGUCCUUUUACCCUUUUACUUGUGUUUUUUUUGUGUGUUAAAAGCCCCUAAUGGUUCAGCAAUCAAUGAGACAGUGAGUCAUUAGUAUCCUUAUGGACAAAAACAAGAAGUGAAAAGCUCUGUACUAUGGACACCCAGUUUCCUCUGCAGAUAAAUACAUUUUACUUGAGUAAAUGCCACACAAAAUGGCUGAAGAAUCCA